AGUGAACGCUGGCGGUAGGCCUAACACAUGCAAGUCGAACGGCAGCACAGUAAGAGCUUGCUCUUACGGGUGGCGAGUGGCGGACGGGUGAGGAAUACAUCGGAAUCUACUUUUUCGUGGGGGAUAACGUAGGGAAACUUACGCUAAUACCGCAUACGACCUACGGGUGAAAGCAGGGGAUCUUCGGACCUUGCGCGAUUGAAUGAGCCGAUGUCGGAUUAGCUAGUUGGCGGGGUAAAGGCCCACCAAGGCGACGAUCCGUAGCUGGUCUGAGGGGAUGAUCAGCCACACUGGAACUGAGACACGGUCCAGACUCCUACGGGAGGCAGCAGUGGGGAAUAUUGGACAAUGGGCGCAAGCCUGAUCCAGCCAUACCGCGUGGGUGAAGAAGGCCUUCGGGUUGUAAAGCCCUUUUGUUGGGAAAGAAAAGCAGCAGGUUAAUACCCCGCUGUUCUGACGGUACCCAAAGAAUAAGCAUCGGCUAACUUCGUG
rnacentral:rRNA from 1 species